rnacentral:rRNA from 1 species
UGGGUCUAGCGUUAUCGGAUUCUGGGCGUAAAGCGUGGUUUGUUAAGUAGAUGUGAAAGCCCGGGGCUCAACCUCGGAAUAGCAUUUGAAACUGGCAGACUAGAGUACUGUAGAGGGGGGUAGAAUUUCAGGUGUAGCGGUGAAAUGCGUAGAGAUCUGAAGGAAUACCGGUGGCGAAGGCGGCCCCCUGGACAGAUACUGACACUCAGAUGCGAAAGCGUGGGGAGCAAACAGGAUUAGAUACCCUGGUAGUCCACGCCAUACACGAUGUCUACUUGGAGGAUGUGGCAUUGAGCCAUGGCUUAAGGAGCU